UCUUAUGGAUGGGCAGAGAAAGUGGUUUCCUGAGAUGGAAACAACUCUCAGUAAAGAUGCUGUGAA
rnacentral:pre_miRNA from 1 species